GCUUUGUUCUUAUCUGAUAAAUGUGAAUGUAUUAAAAUGUUGAUUUAUAUUUAAACAGGUGAACAUUUGGUUGGACCAUUUGACGAGUGUUUCUGCCAACAGAAAAAGGGGCAAGGCAAAGGCGUCCGAGACACGGUCUUUGAAAAAGGUUCAAGCUUCUAUCCAGGCCCAAGCUCCUAUCAAGGUUCAAGCUCCUAUAUAUCCCGACUCGAGCUCCCAUCCAGGCUCCUGCUCCUAUCCAGGCUCUUGAGGAAAGUGCACCAGAUUAAAAACAAUGUGGAAGUGUCCAGGUUUGGCUGCAGGAGGAGGAAGAAUGUCUUUUUUAAUGACUUUUUGUGUUAAAUGUUAAAAUAAAAUAAGAAGUUAAAGUGUUGUAAGUUUUUAGCUCAUCUGAGCUGUGGGCACGAAGCUAUUGUGAUCAUGACCGGUGAAUGUCUGUCUCCGCAAAUCAGGUGUCCUCAACUUUUAUUGUUUUAACACUCUUAAGAGGCCACAGAUAUGGUUCAAUUAUAAUUAAGCUUGGUCAGCAUGCUUACCAUCCCUACAGAAACUGGGUCAUGUGGAGUCAGACACUAGGUUAGUAGGUUUAUUUUGUAGCUAAACUAUAAAUGUAA